GGUUUGUGUUAUCUUCAUGGUAAACAUCCUCCUAUUGUACAUCGUGACCUCACUGCUAAUAACGUGUUACUGACCUCUUCAUACUCAGCUAAGAUAUCAGAUCUAGGAGUAUCAAGAUUAGCUGAUAUGUUUAAAAAGCAUCACCUCACUACAGCACCUGGUAAUGCUAUGGUAAUGCCACCAGAAGCUCUUAAAGAUAAUCCGGUAUAUGAUCACAAGUUAGAUGUAUUCUCUUAUGGUUGUCUCAUUCUUCAUGUACUUACUGGUCAAUUCCCUGAGCCUACUAAGGAAUUUUUACCUGAACCAGGAAGGAAGGAUUCCUUCAAAAGAGUAUCAGAAUGGGAUAGAAGAUCACUGAAGCUGCAUUAAAGAUAUACCAAAAGAGAACGAGCUCCUUCCUUUAGCUAAGCAAUGUCUAGCUGAUGAUCAUACUGGUAGACCAGAUAUGAUCGACUGUUAUCAUUUUGUGGAGCAGGUUCUAUCUAAAUAUCCAAAAAUGAAAAGUAAUACAGAAUUAAUGAAAGAGAAUGAAGCAGCAGAAAAUUGUUUUUAUGAAUUAGAUGCAGAAGUUAAAGUAUUAAAAGCUGAGAGAAUAGAGAAAGACAAACUUAAAUUGAGAAACAGCUAACUGCAGAUAAUAAACGACUGACAGGAGACUUAAGUAUUAUGUCAUUUGCAAGUGACAGGUUUACAAAAUGCUCUUUCAUUGAAAGAAAGAGAAUUCAAUGAUUGCACUCAAGUACUAAAGGGAACCAUUAGAUGCAGAGAUCAACAACUAGUUAAGCAACAAGAAGACAUCAUUUAACUACUGAAGAAAAGAGAAUCUGAAUUAAAGGAUAAUCAUUCAACAAAGCUUUCUGAAGCAAAAAAAAACUUUGAAUCAAAGCUAGCUGAGUAUGAAUCAAAGCUGUUUAGAUUAGAAAAAGAAUAUGAAGCCAAGUUAUCUGGAGUAUGAAGCAAAAAUUGUGACUAUAGUAGAAAAUUAUGAGGAGCAAUUGUCUGUCUGUCAUGAAGAAUGUGAGAAAAGAGUAGCAGAAGUACUGAAGGAGUUUACAUUGAAAUCAAGUGAAACACUUGAAAGUGCAGUUGUAUCAAAAAAUGAACUAUUAUCAUCUUUGCAGUCUCUACCAUUAGUUGACAUUCCUUCAUAUGAUAUUCAAAGCAAUUGAGUAGCCCUCUUUUGACACAACGUCUGAAGAAAGGAGACAAGUGGUAUCUUGUUGAUCAAAAAUGGCUCAAAAAGUGGAAGAAAUACACUGGAUUUGAUUCAUGGGAUCAGGCCACUGCUGAACAUGCUCAUCCAGGACCAAUUGAUACUGCUAUUUUGUUUAAAAACAAUGUAUCUAAAACAUUGAAUGAUCAUCUAAUGGAAGAACUGGACUAUACAUACUACCUGAGCCUGCAUGGAAUCUUUUACUGAGUUGGUAUGGAUUAUUGGUAGGAUCAAGACCUAUUAUUAGGAAUGUAGUAGAGUAUAGAAAAUAUGUUAAGCACUUGAGAGUUGAAGUUUACUUGAUUGAUUUAAAAUUAUGUGUACAUCCUCA